CCUAGUAAGCGUGAGUCAUCAGCUCAUGUUGAUUACGUCCCUGCCCUUUGUACACACCGCCCGUCGCUACUACCGAUUGAAUGGCUUAGUGAGACUCUCGGAUCGGGUUUUGGGAACCGGCAACGGAUCCUUUCUUCUGAGAAGUUUGUCAAACUUGGUCAUUUAGAGGAAGUAAAAGUCGUAACAAGGUUUCCGUAGGUGAACCUGCGGAAGGAUCAUUAGAAUAUUCGGGAAUUUUUCCCUAAAUAUCUUAUUCAAAAAUUUCCAUUCUAAAAAUAAAAUUUUAAAUUUCAUUAAAGAAAUUAAGACAACUUUCAACAACGGAUCUCUUGGCUCUUGCAUCGAUGAAGAACGCAGUGAAAUGCGAUACGUAAUGUGAAUUGCAGAAUUCCGUGAAUCAUCAAAUCUUUGAACGCAAAUUGCACUCCUUGGUAUUCCGAGGAGUAUGCUUGCUUGAGGGUCGAAUCAUAUUAUCGUUUUUUAACGGAUCUGGGUUUUUCCAAGUUUUUUUUUAAACCUUGGUAACCUAAAAUUUAUCUUAAUAAUAUUUGUAAUAUUGAAAAUGUGUAUCUUACGUUCACGUGAGUUUAUUGACAAUCAUUAUGAAUUUAUUACGUCGUAUUAUUCACUCGAUUUUUUUAACGAUCGGGGCGAAAAUGAUACAAUUUUUUAAAAUUCGACCUCAAGUCAAGUAAGAAUACCCGCUGAACUUAAGCAUAUCAAUAAGCGGAGGAAAAGAAACUAACAAGGAUUCCCUUAGUAACGGCGAGUGAACUGGGAAGAGCUCAAAUUUAAAAUCAUCAGGGUUUCCUUGAUGAGUUGUAAUUUGAAGAAAGUGUUUUGAUGUUCGGGUUUUAUCUAAAUCCUUUGGGAUAAGGUAUCAUAGAGGGUGAGAAUCCCGUUCGUGAUUAAACCUCGGAUGUCACUUAAUUCAUUUUCUAAGAGUCGAGUUGUUUGGGAUUGCAGCUCAAAAUGGGUGGUAAAUUUCACCUAAGGCUAAAUAUAUGCGAGAGACCGAUAGCGAACAAGUACCGUGAGGGAAAGAUGAAAAGAACUUUGAAAAGAGAGUUAAAUAGUACGUGAAAUUGUUGAAAGGGAAACGAUUGAAGUCAGUCAUGCUAGUGAGGAAUCAACUCGGUGGUUUUCUUCCGGGUGUACUUUCUCGCCUGGCAGGUUAGCAUCAAUUUCGUUCAUCAUUAAAUGAUUGGGGUAAUGUGGCUUCUCUUCGGAGUAGUGUUAUAGACCUUGGUAGAUGUGAUGAUCGGGAUUGAGGAUUGCAGCGAAUGCUAUUUGGCUAGUCCCCUGAUUUCUGAUGGUCACCUCGCCUUCGACAGCUUGCUGACGUGGGUGGGUUCUGAUUGUCUAGAUGUUAGAGUGAUCAUAUAUUCGCUAAGGAUGCUGACGUAAUGGCUUUAAACGACCCGUCUUGAACACGGACCAAGGAG
rnacentral:rRNA from 1 species